UACGUAGGGUGCAAGCGUUGUCCGGAUUUAUUGGGCGUAAAGGGCGUGUAGGCGGCCAAGCAGGUCCGCUGUGAAAACUCGAGGCUCAACCUCGAGACGUCGGUGGAAACCGUUUGGCUAGAGUCCGGAAGAGGAGAGUGGAAUUCCCGGUGUAGCGGUGAAAUGCGCAGAUAUCGGGAAGAACACCCGUGGCGAAGGCGGCUCUCUGGGACGGUACUGACGCUGAGACGCGAAAGCGUGGGGAGCGAACAGG
rnacentral:rRNA from 1 species